UCGAGAAUAUUUCGCAAUGGGCGAAAGCCUGACGAAGCGACGCCGUGUGAAUGAAGAAGGCCUUCGGGUUGUAAAGUUCUGUCGCCUAAGAACAAGGACAUGAGAGUAAUAUAUUCAUGUUUUGAGUGUACUAGGAAAGGAAGCACCGGCUAACUCCGUGCCAGCAGCUGCGGUAAUACGGAGGGUGCAAGCGUUAGUCGGAAUUACUGGGCGUAAAGGGUGCGUAGGCGGACAAAUAAGUCAGACGUGAAAUUCCGGGGCUCAACCCCGGAGCUGCAUCUGAAACUAUGUGUCUAGAGGGAUGGCGGAGAAAACGGAAUUCCACGUGUAGCGGUGAAAUGCGUAGAUAUGUGGAAGAACACCUGUGGCGAAAGCGGUUUUCUAGCCUCCCCCUGACGCUGAGGCACGAAAGCAAGGGGAGCAAACAGGAUUAGAUACCCCCGUAGUCC
rnacentral:rRNA from 1 species